AGGUUGGGUAAAGAGAGGUGUUUGAAGUGUUUCAGGUGUGCCUGCAGGCUGCUGCUGUGGACGCGCGUGCUGGAAUCCGGGGCAAGGUCCUGAGUCUGCUACUGCUUUCCAAGGUGCGGCCGAAAUGUGUGAGUACAGGUCUUCUGGUUCUUUUCAUUAUAGCUGUAAAUGAUGUACGUCCUGACCCGUCAACCACGAACAGUAUCUUUUCAAAGGAGGCCGCUCUGCCCGCGUUUGGGGCGGACCUGAAGAGCCCCGGAAUGUGUAUCUCCCCAGAGCACCUGCAACAAUGCGUGGGAACCCCUGGGACAGGACGUGCGUCCAAGGUCUCAGAAGGAGCGGGAUAGUUGAGACAGGCGGAGGAUGGAAAAGGCCUUCGUGAAUUGAGAGAUUGUGCAGAAGACACUAAUGUGCUGGGAAGGAGAAGUCUCUGCUUCCCCCAUUGGAAUCGUCGUCACACAUUGAAGUUAAGUUCGUUCAUUAUUUAAACAAGGAUUUGCUGAUGACAGGUUAGUGGCUUAACGUGUGGACUUUUUGUUUUUUUAAUGGCCACUCCCACUGCAUAUGGAGGGUCCCCUGGCCAGGGAUUGAAUCCAAGCCCCAGCUGCGACCUAAGCCACAGCUGCAGCAACGCCUUUACCCAACUUCGCCAGGUCGGGGAUUGAACCCAAGCCCCCACAGUGACCAGAGCUGCUGCAGUCAGAUUCUUCACCCACUGCAUCACAGCGGGAACUCCUAAAAAGUUUGGACAUUUGAGCUGCCUUACAUGAGUUCAAAUCCUCUUACUAGCUGUGUUGAUUGUAUCAAGUUCCUUAAUCUCUUUGUGCCUCAAUUUCCCAUAUUGUAAACAGGCAAAAGUGUCUGUGUGUGUGUGGAUAUGUGUAGUCAGAAAGACUGUUAGAUAAUAUUGAAUGUCUGAAACACAGUGCAAGAAUAUUAACUAUUAUCAGUAUACAAUAAUUACUGUAAUAGUAAUGUUAUACUGUCAUUAAUAUAUCAAUCUAGUAAGUAUUAUUAACUUAAUAUUAUUAAUUUUCUUUCUAUACAGCCUCACCACAUUUUCUUCAUGAUACUCUGAGCUAGUUUUUGUGUUGUUUUUUUUUUAAAAAAACUCCAUUUUACAGAUAAGACAACUAAUGCUCAGAAAAGUUAGGCGGCUUCCCCACCGUCACACAGCAGCUAAGAUGAACCAUCCAAGUCUACUUGGUUUGCACCAUAUUUUGUGGCAGUGCUCCUGCUGGUGUUUCUAUAAUGUAGCUUAAUUCAGUCAAAUAGCAUGAAAGAAAUUGAAAAAAGUGAUUGAAAGUGAGCAGGGCACGGGAGAGUUCAUUCUGCUUCCCGAAGGCACAUGCAGAGCCAGCAGGGGGCAGCACGCACCAGGACAACCAGAGUACCCUGGAGGCAUUUGUCGGGUGUCCUUUAGCUAGGGUCCCUCUGAGCCUUUUCAGGAUUAAAUUUAUUUAUUUAUUUAUUUAUUUAUUUAUUUAUUUAUUUGUCUUUUCAUAUGGAAGUUCCCAGGCUAGGGGUCUAACCAGAGCUGCAGCCGCCGACCUACACCAGAGCCACAGCAAUGCAGAAUCCAAGCCGCAUCUGCAACCUUCACCACAGCUCACGGCAACGCCAGAUCCUUAACCCACUGAGCGAGGCCAGGGAUCAAACCCGCAACCUCAUCGUUCCUAGUUGGAUUCGUUAACCACUGAGCCAGGACGGGAACUCCCAGGGUUAGAUUUAGAUCACACCAUUUGGGCAGGAAUACACAUGAGUGACAGGUCCUCAGCUCUUCAAAGUGCACGGUGUCAGUUUGUUCCAAUAUUGGAGGUGCAAAUUCCGCUCACUUGAUGCAGCGGUCUGAAUAUUUGUCUUUCCCACAAAAUUCAUAGGUUGCAAUCUUCACGUCCAGUGUGAUGGUUGUAGGAGGUGGGCCUUUGGCAGGCGAUUAGGCCGAGAGGCGGUGCCCUUGUGAUGGGAUCUUUGUAAGAGUCCUAGCUGAGCUCUCCAGCUCUUUUGACCCCCUGCCGGGACACAGGGAGAAGUCUGCAGUUGGCACCCCCUGAGGAGGGUCCUCCCCAGGUCCUGACCAUGCAGCCACCCUCAUCUUGGAUGUCCAGCCACCAGAGCUGUGAGAAAGUCAGUGUCCGUUGUUCACAAGCCACCCAAUCUAUGGGACUUUGUUCCAGCAGCCUGAACUGACCGGGAUGCUUGGUUAAGGCCGUUGGUCAGGUUUCUCCAUUGUAAAGUUAUUGUUUUCCUCUUGUACCUAAUAAGCAUUUUAUGAGACGACAUAGUGGAGAUGUCUUCUCUCUCACUGGCGCUUGCAUCCAGCGUGGUCCCCACCCACGCUGAACCGGGAGCACGGUGCAACCAGUGGGAUGUUGGGGAGAUGGUGAAGUUUGACUUGGAGGCUGGUUCCCAAGGAGAGCACUGUCUCCUGCCUUACUCUCUGGGAUCACAGGCUCUAGAGAAGCCGAAAGUCAUGCCUUCAAAAUAGAUGAGAACUGUAAUCUAAGAUUUUAAAAUAAAUCAGGGCGAAAAUUAAAUUAAAGGGAAACCUCACCAAAAUAGAAUGGGGAGGCCAGAAGGGGGCGCUCUCAUACACGUGCCUCUCAAGAUCAGGGCAGAGCCCAACAGGAAGAGCUGUACCUUGCAUCUCCCUCAGGGAUUGCUGUUUGAGUAUCACCAGCAGGAGGAAGAAAGGUUUUUUGACUGUCACAACUCAGCCAAUGAAAAGCCACUAUACGUCUAAGUACUAAUUUCCUAGAAGGGACUUUUUGUUUCUUACAGCCUCCCAACGUCCCCUUUUCCUCUAGCAAAGCAUUUUCUCUCCUUUCUUCUACUGCACAUGUCUGUGGUUCACCAUCGUCGCCUGUCCCAAAAGGUGAUUAUGUGGUUCUCUUGGAUAAAUCUGUUUUGCUGGUAAAAAAUAACCAGCUGUUUUAUUGUUUUAGGUUUAAAGCAGACAUAAAAAGUAACCUAAGAUAUGGAAAGCAAUAUAUGUCAGAUUUAGAAAAGCUCAGGAGGUGAAAAACUCAGGAAAGGAUUAAAAGUUGUAUGUGUCAAAGUAAUCCAAGAACAAAUUAACAAAACUGUAGGUCACAGAGGCAGCUUGCGUCCAGUGUUCCUGUGGCUGUGGCGUAGGCAGGCAGCCGUAGCUCUGAUUAUGCGUUAAGAGAAAUAAAGCAAAGAAGUAGGAAGAUAUUAAAAGAUAUUAUUGGGGCCAUAAUAAUGGGUACUCAAAGAUAUCCACCUACUAAUCCCCAGAACCUGUGUGCAUGUUUGCUUACACAGCAAAAGAGACUUUGCAGGUGUGGUUAAAUUAAGGAUCUCAAAACAGGGAGAUUAUCCUAGAUCAUCUGGGUGGGAUUAAUCUAGUCACGCAGGUCCUUAAAAGGAGACAAUUGUUUCUGGCUGUGAUGGGAAGUCAGAAGAGGCCAGGUGUGUAUGUGUUAGGAAGAAACCUAUUCCGGGAUUUCCCUUCAUGGAUCAGCUGUUAAGAACCUGAUUAGGAUCCGUGAGGUUGCGGGUUCGAUCCCUGGCCUCACUGUGGGUCAAGGGAGGAUCCAGCAUCGCAGAGAGCUGCGGUGUAGGUCACAGAUGAGGCUCAGAUUCUGUGUUGCUGUGGCUGUGGUGUAGGUCAGCAGCUGUAGCUCCGAUUCGACCCCUAGCCCGGGAACCUCCAUAUGUCACAGGUGCAGUCCUAAAAAGAAAAAAAAAAAGAAACCUGUUUGAGCUGAAAUAGAAUGAUGAUCCCAAAGAGAGUCUAGAAUAAUAAUAAUAACUCCCUAUAUACUGAUAUGCCUGGCCAUUUGGAAAUAGCAAUUAGUUUUGUUUUUUAACGUAAUUAUUUUGGAGAGCCUAAGAAGAAAUGAUAAAAGACUACUGAAUUCCGAACUCUCUGAAAAGAAAACAUUAUAUAAGGAAUAACAACAUUGUAAAUCAACUAUACUUUAAUAAAAAUUUAUUUAAAAAAU
ensembl:lncRNA